UACGGGGGGGGCAAGCGUUGUUCGGAAUUACUGGGCGUAAAGCGCACGCAGGCGGAUGCGCGCGUGGGGUGUGAAAUCUGGCCGCUUAACGGCCAGGCGCCAUCCCAUACGGCGCGUCUGGAGCCUUGCAGAGGUCGGUGGAAUUCCCGGUGUAGUGGUGAAAUGCGUAGAGAUCAGGAGGAACACCUGUGGCGAAGGCGGCCGACUGGGCCGACCCUGACGCUGAGGCGCGAAGGCGUGGGGAGCGAACGGG
rnacentral:rRNA from 1 species